rnacentral:rRNA from 1 species
CCUACGGGAGGCAGCAGUGGGGAAUAUUGGUCAAUGGGCGCAAGCCUGACCCAGCAACGCCGCGUGAAGGAAGAAGGCUUUCGGGUUGUAAACUUCUUUUAAGCGGGAAGCGCAGACGACGGUACCUCCUGAAUAAGCCAUGGCUAACUACGGGCCAGAAGCCGCGGUAAUACGGAGGUGGUAAGCGUUGUUCGGAUUUACUGGGUGUAAAGGGUGUGUAGUCGGGCUGACAAGUCAGAUGUGAAAUUCCCGGGCUCAACCCCGGACCUGCAGUUGAAACUGUUGGUCUUGAGUAUCGGAGAGGCAGGCGGAAUGCCUAGUGUAGCGGUGAAAGGCGUAGAGAUUGGGAGGAACACCGGUGGCGAAGGCGGCCUGCUGGACGACAACUGACGGUGAGGCGCGAAAGCGUGGGGAGCAAACAGGAUUAGAUACCCGAGUAGUC